rnacentral:rRNA from 1 species
AGAAUCAACGCUGGCGGCGUGCCUCAGACAUGCAAGUCGAACGCGAAAGUUCCCUUCGGGGAAUGAUUAGAGUGGCGUCCGGGUGAGUAACACGUGGGUAAUCUACCUUCGGGUGGGGAAUAACAGUCGGAAACGACUGCUAAUACCGCAUAAUGCAGCGGCACCUAAUGGUGACAGUUGUUAAAGCGGGGGAUCGCAAGACCUCGCGCCUGAAGAGGAGCCCGCGGCGGAUUAGCUAGUUGGCAGGGUAACGGCCUACCAAGGCGACGAUCCGUA